AUUAGGUAGAUUGGAUGCGUUCGUUGCGAAAAAAUCCACCCGAGUUUCGCUACCCGGCAAUAGUGCAUUCGGGUGCCGAAAUGCACCCGUUUUGCAUCGUUUUUCGUGCCGGAACCGAAUGCCCAAAAACACUCCCAAACAUGUUCUAGUGUCUAAUUAGGUAGAUUGGAUGCCUUCGUUGCGAAAAAAUCCACCCGAGUUUCGCUACCCGGCAAUAGUGCAUUCGGGUGCCGAAAUGCACCUGUUUUGCAUCAUUUUUCGUGCCGGAACCAAAUGCCCAAAAACACUCCCAAACAUGUUCUAGUGUAUAUUUAGGAAGAUUGCAUGCGUUCGUUGCGAAAAAAUCCACCCGAGUUUCGCUACCCGGCAAUAGUGCAUUCGGGUGCCGAAAUGCACCCGUUUUGCAUCAUUUUUCGUGCCGGAACCGAAUGCCCAAAAACACUCCAAAAUAUGUUCUAGUGUAUAUUUAGGAAGAUUUGAUGCGUUCGUUGCGAAAAAAUCCACCCGAGUAUCGCUACCCGGCAAUAGUGCAUUCGAGUGCCGAAAUGCACCCGUUUUGCAUCAUUUUUCGUGCCGGAACCGAAUGCCCAAAAACACUCCCAAACAUGUUCUAGG
rnacentral:lncRNA from 1 species